CACGUAGGACCCAAGCGUUAUCCGGAAUUACUGGGCGUAAAGAGAUGCGUAGGCGGUAUCUUAAGUGAAAUGUGAAAUCGUACGGCUCAACCGUGCGGCUAUAUUUCAAACUAAUUUACUAGAGAAUGGUAGAGGUAACUGGAAUUCCCAGUGUAGCAGUGAAAUGCGUAGAUAUUGGGAGGAACACCAAUGGCGAAGGCAGGUUACUGGACCAUUUCUGACGCUAAGGCUCGAAAGCGUAGGUAGCGAACGGG
rnacentral:misc_RNA from 1 species